AUAAGGUGACACAUAUCUCGUGUGUUGAUGUAGGGUUCAUAAAAUAUAGAAAAUUAAGGAUUUUUAGUGAAGUACAAUUUUUUUUUAAAAGAAGAAAUUAAGGAGAAAAGAAAAAAAAGGGAGCCUCAAGGAAAGAGUCUGGUGACGGUGGAAUUUGAGGGAUUUGUGUUGCCGGCGCCACUAUGAGUAGGGGAUACAUGCAUUGAUGUGUGGUCAUAAAAUAUAAAAAAUUAGGUUUUUUUAGUUGAAGUAUAAUUUUCUUUUAAAGAAGAAAUUAAGGAUUGUACCAAAAAAGGAAGAAGAAAUUAAGGAGAAAAGAAAAAAGAGAGCCUGAAGAGAAGAGUCGGGUGAUGGUGGAAUUUGAGGGAUUCAUAUCGGAGGCUCCAUGUGAGUAGGGGAUACAUGCAAAAAUAGAUAAGACAACAAAUUGGUGGAGAGUCGCAAUCAGGACCGUCAAAUUGUGAAAGAGAUGGGGUUACAGGUUACGCCAACUUGGACACCGGUCAUCAAUCUAUUAGACCCCAUUAGAAUCAUGGUGUGUAUGUUGGAAUAAUGUGGAUGGACCAACGAUUAAUUGGAUUGUCCAGAUCUCUCGUCACAAAAAGAUUGUCUUUAAAACUUUGUUUGAUUUAUGUGACUUUAGAAAGACUUUAGGAAAAUGAUGCAUAUCUCGUGUGUUGAUAUAGGGAUCGUAAAAUAUAGAAAAUUUGGUUUUUUAGUUGAAGUACGAAGUUUUAUUUUUAAAGAACGUAAGGAGAAAAGAAAAGAAAGAGACCCUAAGAGAAGAAUCGGGUGAUGGUGAAUUUAGGGGAUUCGUGUUGGAGGCGCCACUAUA
rnacentral:lncRNA from 1 species